rnacentral:rRNA from 1 species
GUCGAGGGGUAUGCUUCUUCGGGAGCAGAGACCGGCGCACGGGUGCGUAACGCGUAUGCAAUCUACCUUUCACAGAGGGAUAGCCCAGAGAAAUUUGGAUUAAUACCUCAUAGUAUAGCAGUUUCGCAUGAAACCACUAUUAAAGUCACAACGGUGAAAGAUGAGCAUGCGUCCCAUUAGCUAGUUGGUAAGGUAACGGCUUACCAAGGCAACGAUGGGUAGGGGUCCUGAGAGGGAGAUCCCCCACACUGGUACUGAGACACGGACCAGACUCCUACGGGAGGCAGCAGUGAGGAAUAUUGGACAAUGGGCGCAAGCCUGAUCCAGCCAUGCCGCGUGCAGGAUGACGGUCCUAUGGAUUGUAAACUGCUUUUAUACGAGAAGAAACCCUCCGACGUGUCGGAGCUUGACGGUAUCGUAAGAAUAAGGAUCGGCUAACUCCGUGCCAGCAGCCGCGGUAAUACGGAGGAUCCAAGCGUUAUCCGGAAUCAUUGGGUUUAAAGGGUCCGUAGGCGGUCAGGUAAGUCAGUGGUGAAAGCCCAUCGCUCAACGGUGGAACGGCCAUUGAUACUGUCUGACUUGAAUUAUUAGGAAGUAACUAGAAUAUGUAGUGUAGCGGUGAAAUGCUUAGAGAUUACAUGGAAUACCAAUUGCGAAGGCAGGUUACUACUAAUGGAUUGACGCUGAUGGACGAAAGCGUGGGUAGCGAACA